rnacentral:rRNA from 1 species
UACGUAGGGGGCAAGCGUUGUCCGGAAUCAUUGGGCGUAAAGAGCGCGUAGGCGGCCCAGUCAGUCCGCUCUGAAAGUCAGGGGCUCAACCCCUGAAUGCGGGUGGAUACUGCUGGGCUAGAGUCCGGAAGAGGCGAGUGGAAUUCCUGGUGUGGCGGUGAAAUGCGCAGAUAUCAGGAGGAACACCGAUGGCGAAGGCAGCUCGCUGGGACGGUACUGACGCUGAGGCGCGAAAGCGUGGGGAGCAAACAGG